AGUGAACGCUGGCGGUAGGCCUAACACAUGCAAGUCGAACGGCAGCACAGUAAGAGCUUGCUCUUACGGGUGGCGAGUGGCGGACGGGUGAGGAAUACAUCGGAAUCUACUUUUUCGUGGGGGAUAACGUAGGGAAACUUACGCUAAUACCGCAUACGACCUACGGGUGAAAGCAGGGGAGCUUCGGACCUUGCGCGACUGAAUGAGCCGAUGUCGGAUUAGCUAGUUGGCGGGGUAAAGGCCCACCAAGGCGACGAUCCGUAGCUGGUCUGAGAGGAUGAUCAGCCACACUGGAACUGAGACACGGUCCAGACUCCUACGGGAGGCAGCAGUGGGGAAUAUUGCACAAAGGGCGCAAGCCUGAUCCAGCCAUACCGCGUGAGUGAAGAAGGCCUUCGGGUUGUAAAGCCCUUUUGUUGGGAAAGAAAAGCAGCAGGUUAAUCCCCCGCUGUUCUGACGGUACCCAAAGAAUAAGCACCGGCUAACUUCGUG
rnacentral:rRNA from 1 species